rnacentral:ncRNA from 3 species
ACCGCUGGGGGCGCGAAAGCUGAGAUGGACAUUCGUCCGGUCCCCUCGAACCUGAUGUGGGUAAUCCCACCGUAGGGAAGCGGA